GCCAGCCUCCUUCCUCAUAAGACAGAACAAUGUGCUGGAGGCUGAGAAGUCCAAGGUCAAUGUCCUGGCUGAUUCCUGUUCCUGGUGGGAGCCCUCUUCCUGGCUUGCGGUUGAUGGUCUCGCUGUGUUCUUGCAUGAUGGUUAGGGAGAGUCUUUCCCAGCAUCAGUGUCUUUUCCAGUGAAUUGGCUCUUUGCAUCAGCCAUUUAGGGCAAAAAAGUGGCUGCUACAACAAUGAAAGUGAAGACUUGAGAGAAGAAAUUGGGGAACUGGAUUUGAAGAGGACGACUGUUGGAACAUUGAAUGGGAUGCAGUUUUUCUUACCCUGUUCCAUCUUUUGUGGCUGCGCUGCAAAACUGUGGCAUUUAGCUUACCAAUUCUCUUUGUGGUUCUUUGUGAUAACUUUCCUAGCACCCUUCUCUUCUUUCCCCAGUUGUUUCCUGUUUCCUUUGUGUGGGAGUAGAUGUGUUAGCACACAGAAUCUAGCACUAAAUAUACUGCCAGCUAUAAAAGGGAAUGCAUCUUCUUAGAUAAUGAUCAUCAGGUUGAGUAUAUGUAACAGUUA
ensembl:lncRNA